CAGUAGCCGCGGUAAUACGAAGGGGGCUAGCGUUGUUCGGAUUUACUGGGCGUAAAGCGCACGUAGGCGGACUUUUAAGUCAGGGGUGAAAUCCCGGGGCUCAACCCCGGAACUGCCUUUGAUACUGGAAGUCUUGAGUAUGGUAGAGGUGAGUGGAAUUCCGAGUGUAGAGGUGAAAUUCGUAGAUAUUCGGAGGAACACCAGUGGCGAAGGCGGCUCACUGGACCAUUACUGACGCUGAGGUGCGAAAGCGUGGGGAGCAAACAGGAUUAGAUACCCGGGUAGUCCCUGUCUCUUAUAA
rnacentral:rRNA from 1 species